AGGUACAGGGAAUUCCCGGUGGAGCGGAGAAAUGCUUACAUUUCGGGAAGAACCCCAAUAUGGCGAAGGCACUGUACUGGGCUUUUCCUGACGCUGACAGACGAAAGCUAAAGGAGUGAUUAGGAUUAGAUACCCUAGUAAUUUUAGCCGCAAACGAUGGAAACUCACUGCCGAGCGAAAUACAACGAGCGGUGGUCAAGCUAACGCGUGAAGUUUCCCGCCUGGGGAUUACCCUUGCAAAAGUGAAACUCAAAGGAAUUGACGGA
rnacentral:rRNA from 1 species